rnacentral:tRNA from 1 species
GCCCGCAUAACUCCAAUUGGACAGAGUGGCGUGCUCUUAUUUACGUAAGCGUAACACGCAAGUUGUGGGUUCGAAUCCCACUGCGGGCU